CUUUUUCCUCGUUGGCACUUUAUCUGUUGGUUAGUAGGUGCUAUUAUAUUAUUGAACCUUUUGAGCCAUACGCUAUUGGGUUAGUCAGGCUGAUCAACAAGUGUCAAUAAGGUGUUGGGUUAGUCAGGCUGAUCAACAAGUCUCAAUAAGGUGUUGGGUUAGUCAGGCUGAUCAACAAGUCUCAAUAAGGUGUUGGGAUCAACAAGUCUCAAUAAGGUGUUGGGUUAGUCAGGCUGAUCAACAAGUCUCAAUAAGGUGUUGGGUUAGUCAGGCUGAUCAACAAGUCUCAAUAAGGUGUUGGGUUAGUCAGGCUGAUCAACAAGUCUCAAUAAGGUGUUGGGUUAGUCAGGCUGAUCAACAAGUCUCAAUAAGGUGUUGGGUUAGUCAGGCUGAUCAACAAGUCUCAAUAAGGUGUUGGGUUAGUCAGGCUGAUCAACAAGUCUCAAUAAGGUGUUGGGAUCAACAAGUCUCAAUAAGGUGUUGGGUUAGUCAGGCUGAUCAACAAGUCUCAAUAAGGUGUUGGGAUCAACAAGUCUCAAUAAGGUGUUGGGUUAGUCAGGCUGAUCAACAAGUCUCAAUAAGGUGUUGGGUUAGUCAGGCUGAUCAACAAGUCUCAAGCCUCAAAUACCUUAGUAAUAUAUUCUGUCUAUGGACUCAUGCUACUCAUUUUCACUGGGGGCUGUGUCCCAAAUGGCAACUCAUUCUUCUAUUCUAUAAGUGGAAUAAGGUGCCGUUAGGGAGACAAGCCGUCUCAGAACAUACGCUGUUAAACCAUUGAGUACAUUACUGUGCUGUUACAUAUUUAUAUCAUUUGUAAGUAUGCAUUAUUAUAAUUAUUUUAUAUUUGUAUACAUGCACUAGUUUUUAAGUGUGCAUUAUUUUUCGGGACAUGAAUCAAACUGAUGUGUAAAAAAAAUAAAGUACUUUUUUGUUAACCUCUG